rnacentral:rRNA from 1 species
AUGCCUACCAUUGCUGGGCCGGCCCAUAGCGACGGGCGCGAGGGCCAGCGCGGUUGGGUAGUCGUCUUCGGCCCGGGCUGUGUCCGGACUGCCCGUCCGUGUAUAAGGCCGAGCCGCACCGGUGGUCUUCUCGAUCGAUCCAACUGGAAGCAAAACGAUUCCGCCGUUCUCCGUCGGCGCCAGGGCCUUCUCAAUGGGAAUCUACGCCGCCGUGCGCAGCACGAAGCAGCGGCUGAGGGAACUCUUCUGUACUCCUCCUGCAAGUACGCCCUCUCUUCUUACGUAAACUACCGACGCGCCCGCCGGUUUCCGUGCCCCGGCCGUUAUAGUCGAUCAAGGUCUUCAGAAGAUGCGUUUGAGAAACUCCCCGUGGUAUGCUUCUCUUCCCUGGUAGUCAAGAGAAUUGCAGUUACAAAUGUUGUAAUUAACAAGCCAGAUGACAUCAUGCACCAUAUAUAUUCUCUCUUGCCACUGCAAGAUGCUGCUCGUGCCGCCUGCGUCUCCCAUGGAUUUCUGCUUUUCUGGAGAUGCUAUUCCAACCUUACAUUCAACGUGUCAACACUUGGGUUGGCUCACAAGAAAUCCGAGGAUUGGGAAAUCUUUCUCAUCGACAGAGUUGACAGCAUUCUUAAGAACCAUUCUGGCAAUGGGGUGGAGACACUCAAUCUCUGCCUCCUAUCUUGCAAAAAUAUUGACCCUUCAUACCUGGACAGAUGGUUGCAGACUGCUGUUCGUUCGGGGAUCAAAGAACUUAAAUUGGAGAUGUCUUACUUCAUGAAGAAAAAGUACAGCUUCCCAUGUUCGGUUUUGUCUGAUGAUGCAGCUGCAAGUUCAAUUCGGUCUCUCUACCUCAGGGGUUGCGUUUUUCGUCCCACAACAACACUUGGCUGCUUGAGAAGACUGAACGCAUUAUCUCUGUUUUUUGUCCACAUUACUGAUGAGGGAUUAGGGCACUUGUUCUCGAAAUCUUUCGCCUUGCAGCAGUUAUAUAUCUUUCGAUGCAAUGCGAUAAUAUGCUUGAAGAUACCUUCCAUGCUGCAGCAACUCAAGCUCCUCACUAUUAAAUUGUGUGAGAAGCUCCAGGUGGUACAGAUCAAUGCUCCAAGGCUCUCCUCUUUUCACUUUGAUGGAGCCCUAGUAAAAAUCUCGGUUGUGGAUCCUUCACCGCUUAGGGAUGUGUAUUUUAAAUCUUGCCGUCCGUCCCGCAUGCUGUCUUAUGCUCGUACGAGGCUUCCAUCCAUCACACGAAAUGUUAGGAGCCUGACCCUCGUGUCUUCUCAUGAGGAUGUCAACAUCCCAAUGCUGCACUCCAAGUUUCCCCGUCUCAAGAAGUUGGAAAUUUACAUCAAAAGACCACAAGCUGUUCUGUCUUUGAUUUCCUUUCUUGAUGCUUCUCCGGCCUUGGAUUCAUUCAUCCUACGCGUAGAUGCGAAUGUCUUGAGGCCUGAUUCUGUUGUUGGAGGCGAGAAUGCCGCUGAUGAUCCAAGGUGGAAGCCACAGUGCCGACAUGAUUGUCUCAGACAGGUGACGGUCAUAGGGUUUUGUUCGGAAAAAAAUCUGGUUCAGUUUGUGAUCUAUAUCGUUGAGAACACUCCUCGGCUUGAGUCCAUCACACUAGACACAACCUUGUGGUCUGGUAGGAGGUGUGAUAUUAAUGGCAAAUCAAGAAAGAUGAAAAGGAGUUGCGAGAUGAUGACCGAGGGUUGUAUCGCCGAGGCUCACAGAGCUGUUAAGGUUGCCAACAGAUACAUUGCAGGGAGAGUUCCCUCGGGUGUUAAGUUCCAGGUCCUGGAGCCGUGUAGCCAGUGCAACGCGCGUACUCACAGCGGGUGGGAUGUCAACAUACCAAUGCUGCACUCCAAGUUUCCCCGUCUCAAGAAGUUGGAAAUUAACAUCAAAAGACCACAAGCUGUUCUGUCUUUGGUUUCAUUUCUUGAUGCUUCUCCGGCCUUGGAUUCAUUCAUCCUACGCGUAGAUGCGAAUGUCUUGAGGCCUGAUUCUGUUGUUGGAGGCGAGAAUGCCACUGAUGAUCCAAGGUGGAAGCCACAGUUCCGAAAUGAUUCUCUCAGUCAGGCGAGGAUCAUAGGGUUUUGUUCGGAAAAAAACCUGGUUCAGUUUGUGAUACAUAUCGUUGAGAACACUCCUCGGCUUGAGUCCAUCACACUAGACACAACUUUGUGGUCUGGUAGGUGUGAUAUUAAUGACAAAUCAAGAAAGAUGAAAAGGAGGUGCGCGAUGAUGACUGAGGGUUGUAUCGCCGAGGCUAACAGAGCUGUUAAGGUUGCCAACAGAUACAUUGCGGGGAGAGUUCCCUCGGGUGUUAGGUUCCAGGUCCUGGAGCCGUGUAGCCAGUGCCACGCGCAUACUCGCAGCGGGUGGAUGAAGUUUGGACAUGAAGAAGCAACUUAG